rnacentral:tRNA from 1 species
GCAGCGGUAGUUCAGUUGGUUAGAAUACCGGCCUGUCACGCCGGGGGUCGCGGGUUCGAGCCCCGUCCGCUGCGCCG